GUAAAAUAGAAGCACAAAAAUGAAAUAAAGAGAGAACCCAUUACAAAUGAAGGAAAUAAUAUAAAAAUACAAGAUAGUGGAAGAAAAUUGUCCCUUAAAUAUAUUUUUGAAGAAAUGAGGGAAAGAAAUCUUGAAUAUUCCUUGUAAACUCCCAAAUUUUGCUAGAUAUUUUCCUUUCUACUUGCCUUUUCUCUCCUUGAAUGCUUUUCUAAGAGUUCUCUUAUGGGUGUUUCCCUAAAAGUGACCAACAAUUUGGUAUUUAAAUGGCCAAAGUCGCCUAAAGUGAAAUUGCAAAAGAGGUCUCGAAAUUUACGCGAAAUAGGAAAUAUUCGCCCAAUUGAAAAGCGGCGCGCGCACUGUGAGACAUUUUUGGCCUCGAAAGAGAUCACAAAGUGCCUACCACACUCGCCAUAGUAAGCUUGAGUGCGAGCACUUUUACACCUUUGUCUCCAAGUCAUGUUUUUGUGCACAUUUGGUCCACUCUUCUUUUCUUUAGCUCUUUUCUCCUCCAAUUUGGACUUUUGGCCUACAGACACCAUGAUUACACAAUUAUGAAUAGAAAUCCAAUCAAUUUCAUCAUUAAUUAGCUCGCUAAAGUAUGAAAUAAGGACGUAAAAACACACUUAUCAAGAGGCAUGCAAGGGGGAUAGAGUUUAUUUAGACGUUCCCAUAUGUCAUCCGAUAUAAAUAAGGUAAAGAAAAUGUGAUAACAAAUGCAUUGUCAAGAAGGUAUGUGCUUUUAACCUCUUUAAGACAUAAAUUGCUGGGAUUAGACAUGUAUGCUAUUGACCCAGAAUGAAUAAUGUGAUAAAGGUACCGUGGAUAGAUUCUUUAGGCAUGAUGGGUAUUUAUUUCAGGAAAACAAAUUGAGUGUUCCUAA
rnacentral:lncRNA from 1 species